rnacentral:rRNA from 1 species
UACGUAGGGGGCAAGCGUUGUCGGGAAUCAUUGGGCGUAAAGCGCGUGUAGGCGGCCAGGUAAGUCCGUUCUGAAAGCCCGGGGCUCAACCCCGGGAGGCGGAUGGAUACUGCUUGGCUCGAGUCCGGAAGAGGCGAGUGGAAUUCCCGGUGUAGCGGUGAAAUGCGCAGAUAUCGGGAGGAACACCAAUGGCGAAGGCAGCUCGCUGGGACGGUACUGACGCUGAGACGCGAAAGCGUGGGGAGCAAACAGG